GUGAUUUUCGAAAGUUGAAGAAUAGAAGAAGGGGCAGUUGGUAAUACCAAAAGGAGUAGCCGCCAAAGCAACGGUUGAGAGAUGGAUAGGAAAAUGUGACAGUGUCUGCAAGUUGAUGGCAGUGGGCCCCACGUACCGUUGCAGAGUUAACACUCACAACACACAACAACCCUUUACUCAUUAUUGUGCGUUUAGGAUAUAUAGGACGUGGGUCCUUCAACAACCAACCGACCUUCACACGUGUCAACUUAUCAUUCGCUGACAUUACCUGACCACCACCAGUCUCUUUUUUUCCUACUUUCUCCUUCUUCUCAUCUCUCUGAUUAAACAAAUCCAGCCCAAUUAACUCGCCCUAAUUAUGUUUAUUAUUUUAAACAAGAGUCUAAGCUUUGAUUUAUAAUAUAGGAUGAUGACAACUGUAGGAAGGCCAAUGACUACG
rnacentral:lncRNA from 1 species